GAGUUCCAAAGGCAGCUGCAAUUUAGGUUGUCCUUUUAUGGGGAGAAUCCACCUGCUGAGAUCAUCUCCAGGACAAUGACAGAUGUCCAGGAGUUUGUACUGAGGCAAAGGAUAACGGCAACACCAGAAUGCAGCUCAACAGUAACCAUGGUACAAGAGGGUAAGCCUAAAAUACCUUACCAAGCAUUUAAAAUGUAUGUAGAGGCAGAGGAAGACAGAUGCAUUCCUCCAGGAUUUUGAAAGAUUGUGUGCCUUACAUAAAAUCAGCGCAGAAGAUCGGGUCCCCAUUUUACCUGGGCGACUAACCAGGAGAGCAGCAGAGGCUUACUGUCACGUAUUCAUCCGCUUACAAAAAUGUGGUUAAUGACAUUUACU